CUAUGGAUUGCCAGCUUUAGUCAUCUUGCCAAACCUUUAUAUGAAGCCUUCAAGGGCAACCUGUUGGAGCCCAUAGACCAACAGUAAUCAAGACACCCUUCGUCAAGCUCCAGGCAGCCACCCUCUCAGCCCCAGCACUCUCACUUCCUGACCUCCAGAAACCAUUGUCACCGAGCAGGAAUGCUUGUGGCCCUUUACCAACCAGACAGUCAGCAAACUCAUCUUGGCUGGCUACCAGCCCCUCACUACUGAUGCCAGCUCCACCUAAUGAGACCACACCUCAGCCAUCUAAAGCCCCCACCCAACAAUGCUCCUUUGACAGCAGGAAGCAGCUAUGGAAGAAGAGACCUUCGCCCCAGUAUCCAUAAAACAAAAGGCUGGAAUGACAGGUCAUCCAGCACCAAGAUGUCUCCCUUCCCCCUCAAGUCAGCCUUCUUCCCACAAUCCAUCAUGUUUCCACCUAAACCCAGUCCCAAAAUGUCUCCCUUCCCACCCAAGUCAGGCUUCUUCUUCCCAUAGUCCAUCAUGUCCUGCCCCUCCACCAACCUGCAACUUCCAGGAACCCCUCAGGUCACCUAGUCCUCACCCAACUCUUUAAUAAACCCAACUAAGCCUCCAGGGGGCUGCUGUUUUCCCCUGGUUCAGAGGCAGCCCAGCAGCUCACUCCCCUCUACAAUAAAG
ensembl:lncRNA